AACUUUCAACAACGGAUCUCUUGGCUCUCGCAUCGAUGAAGAACGCAGCGAAAUGCGAUAAGUAAUGUGAAUUGCAGAAUUCAGUGAAUCAUCGAAUCUUUGAACGCACCUUGCGCCCCUGGUAUUCCGAGGGGCAUGCCUGUUUGAGUGUCA
rnacentral:rRNA from 1 species